CGGGACGUAGCGCAGUCUGGUAGCGUACCUGAAUGGGGUUCAGGUGGUCGGAGGUUCGAAUCCUCUCGUCCCGACCA
rnacentral:tRNA from 3 species